rnacentral:rRNA from 1 species
CCUACGGGCGGCAGCAGUGGGGAAUAUUGGACAAUGGGCGAAAGCCUGAUCCAGCCAUGCCGCGUGUGUGAAGAAGGCCCUCGGGUUGUAAAGCACUUUCAGUGGGGAAGAAAGCCUUGGGGCUAAUACCCUCGAGGAAGGACAUCACCCACAGAAGAAGCACCGGCUAACUCCGUGCCAGCAGCCGCGGUAAUACGGAGGGUGCGAGCGUUAAUCGGAAUUACUGGGCGUAAAGCGCGCGUAGGCGGUCUGAUAAGCCGGUUGUGAAAGCCCCGGGCUCAACCUGGGAACGGCAUCCGGAACUGUCAGGCUAGAGUGCAGGAGAGGAAGGUAGAAUUCCCGGUGUAGCGGUGAAAUGCGUAGAGAUCGGGAGGAAUACCAGUGGCGAAGGCGGCCUUCUGGACUGACACUGACGCUGAGGUGCGAAAGCGUGGGUAGCAAACAGGAUUAGAUACCCCAGUAGUC